CAGAUAUGGAUGCCUAGUAGAUGGACGUAGGUUCUCAUCUAUGCCACACCACUGUUUGUUUAGCCAUGAUUUCUUGAACAAGACAGAGUGGCCUAGUUCAUGCACAGUGUUAAGCCAAGCUAAACCCCCCACCUCAUGGCUUAGCAUUAUGUGUGAACCUUGGCCUACUAUAAAGUAACUUCCUGUCUUUUUCUUUCUGGGUGUGUAGACUAUAUAUGGAUUUUUACAGCUGAACGACAGUCAGAAAUCAACAGGUAUCAGGACAAUUAAUCCCGCUGACUUUUCCAGGCUGGAUACCUUUCUCUGAGUCUGCUCUGCUGAGACCUGCAUAGGAAGAGUUCCCAUUCAGAGAAAUGGAGGGUGAGUCUCUGAAGAUGCCAUUGUCGUGCUACGGUUGUUUUCCAAGAUGAGGCAUGCAGAUGCAGGUUGCAACUGACCCGGGAGAAUGUAUAGAUCCUGGUUGGAAACUUUGGGAUUUGUAGUCCCAAAAUCCCAGAGAGCGCCACGUUGGAGCAGGUACAGCCACACAACACCUGAUCAUUGCUUUCCAAAUGAUGGAACCUUACUUGGAAGUACAUUUUCACACCAGCUUCCCUGAAAUGGAGAGAGCGAUGGAAAUUGAGCAUUGGAGUUCCUAGGUCCUUUCUUCCAAGGGUAGUGGGGAAAAGCCUGCAGGUUGCACCCUCCCUCCCAAGGCUGUUCAAUGCAGUGUGCUGCCUUGAUUUCCCAGACUGAUGCUGGACUAAAGCAACCCUGACAUCUAGAUCGAUUUUGCCUGCUCUCUCUGUCGGGGACUUUCAGCCUUCAUCAAUCCAGCUGUCUCUCAGUACGGAAAUCUUUCCUGUCCCUUGGCUGUGCUAGUAAGUGUCGCCUUACAUACACAUAAAGCCUCAAAGAAGAGAGAGUGGUCAUCAGUUCUAGGUUUGAACCUCAGCUCCCCUAUCAAACUCAACUCUCCUGACUCAGCUCAGUGCCUAUCACACUUUCUACUCUUCCACCAGUUCACUGAGUAACAAUCAUCAGUGCAAGGCACAAUCCACAUAUUGCCAUUUAACAAGAGCAAGCACACACUGUUUAAAAACUAGCAUUUGACUCUGUAAAAGCUAAACUCUGAAACCCACAGAAGUCAUACACACCUGUUUGGGUUUUGUACUCUGCACCUACAUAAGAGUCCCUACUUCUAACAAAAAGCAAUGACAUUCUGCAGCUCAUCAAUCUUGGUGGCCAUAACAGCUAGAAACAUGCCUCCAUUUUCAGAAAAGGAAAAUCACAUUUCUUAAAAUGCCAAAUUUGGCAUCCAGUACUCCCUUCUGAGGGCCAUGUUCAUAUGAGCUUUCAAUGAAAGGGUAAGAAAAGAUCCAUAAUUCGCUAUCCUCAUCUACAGUAGAAUAUGCUAUGAUGUUCAAAAAGUAUUAAUCUAAGUUCAGCCAGCAUGUUACGAAGCCUACCAACAGGACUUCCUAAUGUGGUCUUUAGAAGUAUUUUUGUACAAGCCCCCUUUUCUGCCAAAUUUUCACUCACUUUACUGCAAUCUCCACAGAAAAGAGCACAGUUUGAAGCUCUGUAGUCCAAGAGGGCAGGACAAGAUCUAAUGGACUUAUGCAAUAAGAAGAUAGAUUGCUGCCAUUAGACUACUGAGCCCUACACAGGCACGAGUUUUCCUUUCCUCUUGCUGGCAUUUGGUUUCAAUGUACAAAAUCUAUCCAUUAUUCCCACACAUUGGCACAGCACGUUUGGGCAAAGAUCUGAAAGUGCCGACAACCGUCAACUUGAACAGAGAAUUAAAAACAUUCAUAUGUUGCAAAUGCUUCUAUUCAAUAGCAGAGAUGCAGUUUUGCAGUGAUAUUAAAAAAAAGGUGGGGAACGCAACCAAGGCUGCAGCUAGUAUGCUUACCAGGAGCAAAAAAAAAAAGCCCCAUUUUUUUCACUGGGUCUCAAAAAUCACCCCUACUCAACUCUCUCAAGUCUUAAGAAUAAAACCAAUAAAAUUAGACCGCCCUAACGGAUACUGCUAAGCUUACCUCUCCCUCCCCAGUCCAGGCCAGGCACUAUGGAGUACCUUAAAGCCCCCUGCUUUUGGCCUCCCCUCUCGCCUGUCGUUUGCUCCAAUGGUAACUCCCUCAGCUGAGUCGGGAGGAACUGGACAAACAUGGUUCAAUUAUCGAACCAAACAAGUCACGGCAUUCAGUGGACUCCAGCAAGGUUUAGUUACAGAAGGAGGAAUAGUUAAAUUUUAAGAAAAGACAGAAAACACGCUGAAGUCUCUGAGGCACUGAGAAUCAGGUGAUUAGCAUAUGGGGCUAAGAAAGACUCCUAGAUUCAGUUACAAAGAUUUGGAGGACAAAUCAGACUGCAAAUGACUGACCGAUCAGGCAAAAAGGAAGCAGCUCAAGAGGCAGGAGGAGGAGGAGGAGGUGGUGGUGGUGGUGCUGGUGGUGGCUUGUAUUUUUAGCAUUCAUGAAAUAUUCACUGGCUGGGUUGUGUGUUGCCAAGCUGAGGCAAAGGCGACCCUGUACAAGCUAUUUAUAGCUGACUCCUGUUUCAUGCCCAUAGCACAAUUCAGUGUGGAUGUAUGAAAAACGUGCCCAGAGGAUGCACCCCCCCACCGACUAUGUAGUUGCCUGGCUAUUCACCUGAGCACCUUUUCCAAGACACCCCUUAUUCCUUAUUAUCCCACCCCUUCCAAGGUCUUUGCUCCUUUGCAGUUCUGGUCAACCAAUGGAACAGCAGCCAGCUCACAUCUGGGCAAAGGGCGAAGGUGCUCUAUGGGCAGUGGAGCCCAUAGAAGACGGGCUGGCAUGGGCGAGAGAAAAUAGCACUUCAGUCCACUGUGGGACUGGACUGGGGAAAACUGUAGGGCACACCCAGCAGGGGGAGCAACAGGGAAGCAAUCAACGCGACAGCAUGUUUUCUUUGUGGCUCAGUUUCCCAAAUGACUUCCUGAAUGAUUUGCUGAACCCAACAUUUUCUCAUGCCAAAAGCAAAAAGUUGACUGCUGACUUCACUUCCACUUUCGUGCAUCAUUCUCGGGGAGGGAGCAGUUCCCUUCAGAGCACAGCAUCCACCACAAACCAAGGGGGCCAUAAAAACUAUCCUAGUGAGCACCCCCCAUUUCCUUCCUUGGCUCUUUCAUUCUUGACAGGAAGAAAAAUAACAUGUGUAAAAUGGCAUUGUCUUAACCUUGCAGACAGCUUAGGUUCUCCUCUCCUACCUCUUCCUACUUGAAGCCAGAAGCAUUAUGGUUGCUAAUCCUGAUUUCCUCAGUUUCUGAACCUGUGAAAUUCCUAUUUCGU